GACAGAGGUGCCAAGCGUUAGGCGGAAUCACUGGGCUUAAAGCGUGUGUAGGCGGAUCGUUAAGUACCUUGUGAAAUCCCACGGCUCACCCGUGGAACUGCUGGGUAUACUGCGAGUCUUGAGCCACUUAGGGGCUGUCGGAACAGGCGGUGGAGCGGUGAAAUGCGUAGAUAUCGCCUGGAACGCCAAAGGUGAAAACAGACAGCUGGGAGUGUGCUGACGCUGAGACACGAAAGCCAGGGGAGCGAACGGG
rnacentral:rRNA from 1 species